UGGGGAAUAUUGCGCAAUGGGGGGAACCCUGACGCAGCCAUGCCGCGUGAAUGAAGAAGGCCUUAGGGUUGUAAAGUUCUUUCGGUAUUGAGGAGGGUUGAUGUGUUAAUAGCACAUCAAAUUGACGUUAAAUACAGAAGAAGCACCGGCUAACUCCGUGCCAGCAGCCGCGGUAAUACGGAGGGUGCGAGCGUUAAUCGGAAUAACUGGGCGUAAAGGGCACGCAGGCGGUUAUUUAAGUGAGGUGUGAAAGCCCUGGGCUUAACCUAGGAAUUGCAUUUCAGACUGGGUAACUAGAGUACUUUAGGGAGGGGUAGAAUUCCACGUGUAGCGGUGAAAUGCGUAGAGAUGUGGAGGAAUACCGAAGGCGAAGGCAGCCCCUUGGGAAUGUACUGACGCUCAUGUGCGAAAGCGUGGGGAGCAAACAGGAUUAGAUACCCUGGUAGUCCACGCUGUAAACGCUGUCGAUUUGGGGGUUGGGGUUUAACUCUGGCGCCCGUAGCUAACGUGAUAAAUCGACCGCCUGGGGAGUACGGCCGCAAGGUUA
rnacentral:rRNA from 1 species